rnacentral:rRNA from 1 species
GAUGAACGCUGGCGGCGUGCCUAAUACAUGCAAGUCGAACGGGUCAGAGCAAUCUGGCUAGUGGCGAACGGGUGAGUAACGCGUUGGUAACCUGCCCUGAAGCGCGGGAUAACAGGCCGAAAGGCUUGCUAAUACCGCAUGUGCUCGCGGUGAUUGAAGAUCCACGAGGAAAGCCGAAAGGCGCUUGAGGAGGGGCCUACGUCCCAUCAGCUAGUUGGUAAGGUAACGGCUUACCAAGGCGAUGACGGGUAGGGGACCUGAGAGGGUGACCCCCCACAAUGGAACUGAAACACGGUCCAUACACCUACGGGUGGCAGCAGUAGGGAAUAUUGCUUAAUGGGCGAAAGCCUGAAGCAGCAACGCCGCGUGUGCGAUGAAGGCCUUCGGGUUGUAAAGCACUUUUAGCAGGGAAGAGGAAGGACGGUACCUGCUGAAUAAGCCUCGGCUAACUACGUGCCAGCAGCCGCGGUAAAACGUAGGAGGCGAGCGUUAUCCGGAUU